rnacentral:rRNA from 1 species
UACAGAGGUCUCAAGCGUUGUUCGGAUUCAUUGGGCGUAAAGGGCGCGUAGGCUGCGAGGCAAGUCGGGUGUGAAAUCUCAGAGCUCAACUCUGAAACUGCACUCGAUACUGCUUUGCUUGAGGACUGGAGAGGAGAUUGGAAUUCACGGUGUAGCAGUGAAAUGCGUAGAUAUCGUGAGGAAGACCAGUGGCGAAGGCGGAUCUCUGGACAGUUCCUGAUGCUGAGGCGCGAAGGCCAGGGGAGCAAACGGG